GUAGGUGGCAAGCGUUGUCCGGAAUUAUUGGGCGUAAAGCGCGCGCAGGCGGUUCUUUAAGUUUGAUGUGAAAGCCCACGGCUCAACCGUGGAGGGUCAUUGGAAACUGGAGAACUUGAGUACAGAAGAGGAAAGCGGAAUUCCACGUGUAGCGGUGAAAUGCGUAGAGAUGUGGAGGAACACCAGUGGCGAAGGCGGCUUUCUGGUCUGUAACUGACGCUGAGGCGCGAAAGCGUGGGGAGCAAACAGGGAUUAGAUACCCUGGUAGUCCACGCCGUAAACGAUGAGUGCUAAGUGUUAGGGGGUUUCCGCCCCCUUAGUGCUGCAGCUAACGCAUUAAGCACUCCGCCUGGGGAGUACGGCCGCAAGGCUG
rnacentral:rRNA from 1 species